UACGUAGGCAGCGAGCGUUGUUCGGAGUUACUGGGCGUAAAGGGUGUGUAGGCGGGUGUUUAAGUUUGGUGUGAAAUCUCCCGGCUCAACUGGGAGGGUGCGCCGAAUACUGAAUGACUAGAGUGUGGGAGAGGUGAGUGGAAUUCCUGGUGUAGCGGUGAAAUGCGUAGAUAUCAGGAGGAACACCGGUGGUGUAGACGGCUCACUGGACCAUAACUGACGCUGAGACACGAAAGCUAGGGGAGCAAACAGG
rnacentral:rRNA from 1 species